GACGAACGCUGGCGGCGUGCUUAACACAUGCAAGUCGAACGGAAAGGCCCUCUUGUUGGUACUCGUCUGGCGGACGAGUGAGUAACCCGUGAGUAACCUACCCUCCACUUCACUAUGACUUCCAGAAAGUGGGACUAAUACAGGAUAGGAAUCCCUGCUGCCUGGUGGGGGUUGGAAAGCAUCUGCGGUGUUGGAGGGACUCGCGGCUGAUCAGCUUGUUGGUGGGGUAGUGGCUUACCUAGGCAGUGACGGGUAGCCGGCCGGAGAGAGCGACCGGCCUCACUGUGAGUGCGAGACGGCGCAGACUCCUCCGGGGGGGAGCAGUGGGGAAUAUUGCGCAAUAGGCGGGUGCCUGAGACAGAACAGCGGCGUGCGCGAUGACGGCGUUCGCGUUGUAAAACGCGUUCACAAGGGGAAGAGCUUGUGGUGAAGGUACCUGAAGAAGAAAGACCGGCUGAACUGGUG
rnacentral:rRNA from 1 species